AAUGUCUAAAAACCUGGUAUUUGCUUUGUCAUUAUGGGGUAMUGUGUGUAAAUUGAUAAGGUAACAAAUMAAUUCAAUACAUUUUAGAAUAAGGCUGUAACGUAACAUGUGGAAKAAGGGAAGGGGUCUGAAUACUUUCCAAAUGCACCGUAGCUAGAUUUGACUUAUUCUUCAUCUGGGUUAAAUUUAAGCUAUUUGGCAGGCUUAUCUCUUGCUUGCAUGGUGAUUGAUUGAGUUAGCUAGCGUUACUGUACUGGUUUUCAAUGGUUUCUGACAGUGGCAGCAUUAGUUGGACUUGUUAAGUUGAGGAGGACGGACGCAAAUUCUGUUAGCUAGCUAACAGAGUGCCUUARAUUUGAUGUAGCCAAGUUAGUAUAGCGAGCUAGUAAUGUUUAACAUUUAUUUAUUUCUGUACUUAAAUGCAGUGACUAAGGCCAAUGAAUGGACAGCUUUGUAAAGGCUACGCUGAAUGAGUGGAACCUAGAAUCUUUGAUUCAAAAGUUGGAGUCAGAGGAGAUGGACCAGGAAAGCUCUUUUGCUUUUGGACGACUCGACRAUAGCCUGAAGCUUAAAGAAGAACAUAAAAGCCUUACACGCAAUUGCUAAGGACUUCUACAUUUUCAACCCGGACUGCUCAGGGAAACUCUCUGAAUACUGGAUCACGAUCGUCAAGGACAAAAGAAGCAGGUAUAGGGAGAAGCAGCCCAGAGAGAAGCAGUCCCAAGAUCUUCUCUUUGAAGUGCAGAUACACAAGGUGACAUCGUGACUAUCUUAUAGACGAGGUUGCGAAGACAUUCCGACCCAGCUUCAAUGAGUCCAGAAAGUCCUUCAUUGACUUGCAGUCUAAGUUUAAAUAGUGGAUAGGUAUAGGGAGAUUGAUGGGGGAAAUUAGAUGAUAGCAUUUGUAAACCUUGACUUCCAUCCAAUUUGCGACACAUUAUCAUGAGAAUAUUCUAAAAUCUGCAUAAAACAAUAUGCACAUUUUCCCACCGGAGAAUACCACUGUCUGUCUUAAGUGGUAUUAACACAGAUCUGUCUAUCAGACAGUGCCAGAGCUUAUCAAUAGAUAUUCACAUUACCUGACACACCUCAGCUAUCUUAGGUGACCACACACACACAAUGCUGUUUUGUCAUAAAAUAAAUGGUCUACAAUUGGGUUGACUCUACUAAGGACAUAUAUGAAUGACUCAUUACUUAAGUAAUAACUAUGUAAUUCAUAAAGCACUUUUCACAAUCUUCAAAAUGUAACAUUUGUAUUUAUUUUUGUUGUGAUAGAAUGAAAGCGUACCAUAACGUCCUUCAGUAGCUGAACUAAAGGCAAACGAGCCACAUACAG